rnacentral:misc_RNA from 1 species
AUCUCCUAGGUGAUAGCGGCAAAUAUCAAUAUGGCCGCAAAAUGUUGAUUUUCACACUUUCUUGGAGAUAACAAUUUUUGCAUGGCCAAGUGACACUAUUAUACAACCUCGUGGACAUACAUACGUGACAAAAAUGCCAAAGGGUGGGGACAUGGACGUAAACAGAAUGUCGUCAAGGGACAAGAAUGUAAUGAACUAUAACCCUAACAAUUCGGGCAUGAUCAGCUAUGAAGACUUACUCAUAGCCCAGUACUUGGAGGAAAUGAAGAAAUCAAGAGCUGAAGUCAAGAAAGACAGAGAGCUCCCAGCAUCUCCGUACCUGCAGCGGUUCCCCCCAACUCCCACCACCGCCACGUACAGUCGACCACGGAGACGGCCAGCCUCAGCUGUCAAUUUGCGCAACAAACAACGAUCUGAAAAACCAAAGAUAGAUGCAAAGUUCAUCGCUGAUCCCAGCAUGUGGGAUCCGGAAACCCCCCGUGAGAAGUACGGCAAACACCCUCGCCGCCCCGCCAGUGCACCUGUCAGGAGAGUCAGCCGUCCAGUGUCCGGUGUGUCUUCUCGCUACUCCUACUUCAGACCCUCCUCCGGGAAACGGCCUAAAGGUCUGUAUCGGCGCCAGCCACACACGAUACGAGUUGUAGCCUUCAAAAAUGGAACGCGGGACAGUUUUGUCAGAGCUACAGCACCCAAUAUAAAGAUGCUGUUGGAGUUCCUCACGGUGAAGCUGGGGCUGCCGUUUGCUGCACGGAGGAUCUUCCUGGAGGAUGGCAUCGAGGUGUUCGAGGCCAGGGACAUCCUCCCAGAGAGUGAUGUCUACAUCUCCAUGGGGGAAAACUACAAGGAUCCACAUCUUCCCACGAAACGGAACCUGAUCCAGAGGGAGGGGGCUGUGUGGACACUGUCAGGCAUCAUGCUCCCAGAGGAAGGCAAAAAGAAGAAGACGAGGUCAUGCCUAUCCAGGAGGAUGAAGACUCUGAUUGAACAGAAGAGAGUGAGAAUCCUGGUGUACCGGAAUGGGCGGAGUAAGGAGCCCAUGGAGAUCGUGGCUGACCUGGCCAACACAGAGGAGUUCCUUGUUGCCUGCACGGCCAAGCUGGACCUCCGAUGUCACGCCCGCACUCUGUAUGACUGGGAGGGCAAUGAGAUCACCGAUCUGUCUGCAACCCCUAUUCUGGACGACUGUCUCCAGCAGGGAGGGACGCCUGUCAUGGGGCCGCUGUGGGUGUCCAUUGGGGAGGGUUUCAGCCCCACAGGCACCACCGACUUCAUCUCCAGCAUCAAGCAGAUCGUCAAGUCUCGGCUGAAGGAGGUGAAGAAGUACAGGACAGAGAUUAAUUACGCCAUGAGUGACGAGGACAAGGACAAGGUGACGGUCGCUGCCGUCUUGUCUCUCAAACCGGACCAACUCUAUGAAGCCUUGGACAGUGCUGAUGAUGAUGUUGACAAGCUGACGAGAACACUGUCGAGGCUAAAGGUGAAGCUGGAUGCACUGGAGGCUGAGCGAGAAAAGGAGGAGGCCAUGGGAGCGAUGUACAAAAUGGCGCACAUACAGGAACUGAAUGUUGACGACAGGCUGCUCGGCACCAAGGGACUCAAACUCAAGGUGUACGAGAACGGCAUGUCUGAAGGAGUGCAGAACUUCUUCUUCAACCUGAGAGGGGCGUUGAAGGGGAUCGGACACGACCGCCCUAAACUCAUGGCCCGGUUGCUGGAUGAGCUGUCGACAGGGUACUGGUCGUCGGGGGGAGUCAACCCCAAACUGAACGCCGUCGCUCAAAAGCUGUACGACAAGUACGGUCGCGAGAUCACCAAUGUAUUGGCUCUGGAGUCUGAGCAGGAGGUGUGGGUGUCGUAUGGCGAGGCCUUCAUCUGCCCCUUCACCUACUGCGUGGAGCUUUUCUUCGACAAGGCCACCAAGCUGGAGAUCGAAGGAGCCACUCAUGUGGUGCGUGAACCAUUGAUGCAGGAAGACGCCCAGGCCACUGACGAACAUGGCCAGUGGGAUGCGACCAUCGGCUUCCCUGUGAUGUACGAGUCUGCCAUGGCUAAUCUGAUGAUGCAGGACCCGGACAAGAUGAAGUGGAUGACGGAGUGUGCGGAGGUCGAUGAACGAGGCUUCUACCUGCUACAUAAGAAACGCAAGGACCUGGCGCUGUACCCAGAGCUUGUUGUCAAUGAGAAGUUCCGUCUGCGUCCCGAUGACAAGCGCCCGGGGGAGAGUGAAGUCCGUCGCAGGAAGGAACUGCAGACAUGGGUCAUCACACAGUCCGGCUACAUCAUAUGUAAGUUCAUGCCUCAGCUGUGUCUGGGUGUGUCCGACACGACAGUGAAGGGACGCUUCUUUGACCGAGACGCGGAGAUGGAGGGACAGGUCGUCACACUGCAGAAGAAGAUGGCACAGAACCCCAACCAGAUGUGGAAGUUUACGACGGAUGCCACCAUCGCAUCUGUGGCAUGUCCCGACAAAGUGCUGACCUAUCUCGGCAACAAGUUUGGAGAUGACGAGUCGUAUACGGAGAAUCCCCCAGAGGGCAGCAAGUCCGGAGUCCGCGUGUAUCUUAUCGUGUCGGAACCCAAGUCAAGGAAGGAGGGCUCCUGUCAGAGGUUUGGUCUGAAGCAGGAAAAGUUUGACAACCUGGGACAGUGGAAGUACACGCAGGCUAGAAACUCUGAGUGGCACAAGCUGGCUUACUCGUGGCCCAUCACUACAGAAGGAGAGCUCAAUGAGAGAUAUGACUGGCCGAUGGAGGGCUACUUGAUGCCACACGCCCCGCCGCUACACAAGUCCGACAAGAAGUCCGGCCUUACAGGAGUGGCUCCGCUGCGUCUGUGGGUGAUGAAGAAUGGGGAGAGAGAUAAAACCACAGCACUACAGAUUGUCGGGCCCAAUUUGACAACGAUGAUGAAGGAGGCCCCCAAGAAGGACAAGAAGGAUGGUGGACGCGGCAGAAAGAAGGACACGCCUGUGAAUCAUGCUGACUCUGUUGACAUCGACGUCACCAUUGGCGACCUCACCGUCAGGGAGCUGGAGUUUCUCAUGUUCCUGGACCACUGUACAUCGCUCCUGGAUCUGCCGUUUGCCGCGCGCCGAAUGUUUGACGAGACGGGUGUGGAACACUUCACCCUCCAGAGUCUGCAGCGAGAUCAGCUGGUGUUCGUCACGUGCGGGGAGCAGUGGAGUGACCCCAAACUCAACAAGACGGAGCAGCAGCGCCGAUUCCUUCUGUCUCAGCUCUCCACCGAUGUGGCCAAGAUUCGCCAGUUUGUUGCUCUGAGGGACCCUCAAGGUUUUGUGAUGGAGAUGGAGGGUGGUGUGACUCCCAAUGUGAAGGUCGUUGUCAACAAAUGUUGGACUCGGGAGGAAGAUGAGGCAGAGGAGCGUGCCAGGGAGGUUAACACAACAGCCAGACAGGAGGAAGAUCAGGGGGAGGAAGAUUUCACAACGGAACACCUCAACGCCCACCACCGCGCCCACUUAAAGUCUGAGAGACGCCUGGACACCCUGCGCUGGCCCUGGGAGAGACUGGUAAAUGUCGGCAACAGUUUUGAUGACAGCGACCCAGAGGCAGUCAAGUACUCCAACAAGGACCUGUAUGAGAAAUAUCGGCCUCGCCCAUCCCCCCGUGUGUCCAGGGACACACUCCAGCGGUUCGUGUACGAGGACGGCUUCAUUGCUUGUUCAGCCAAUCACAGCCUGGUGCUGGGGGUCCAGGAACAGGAAGGGCGGGUCAUCGAUGUGUACCUGCAGAAGCGGCGGCCGGACGAUAUCAACCAGCGCUGGGUCAUGAAGGAAAAUGGUGAGAUCUGCUCCAAGUACAACCAGCAGAUGGCGCUGACUAUCGCGAUGCCCAACGUCCACGGCGACAACCGUCCCUUGACCUUCACAGGGUGUGCAGUGACACUGCAGGCUCGCCGACUCAACCAGUAUGGCAAGGCUCACCAGCGGUGGCGCUACGAUGCAGAGACAGGCUUUAUAUACGCUUUCUACGCUGACCAGUACGAUAAAGAGAUAACAGCAGCCAACCGGGCGGACGUCUGCACAUCCUCUGUAUCCCAUGCUGCUGUCAUCGAUCAGCCGGGCUACAUUGCAGAAGUGAAUGACAGGAAGAACCGCGACAUUCGGGUCUGUCUGUCUUGUGCCCGGGCCAUGAGAGGGCGCUUCAAGCUGCAGCGACUCCCCAACAACAAGCCCUUCGCCUGUGCCAUGGGACAAGCUAGGAAGCUGAAGUUGCGGCAUGUGGGAAGUUUCUGUGUGCUGAAUGGCAAGGUGGACCUGUCGACGCCUGAGGCGGAGAUCACUCUGCGCAACUGGGAGGAGAGUCUGACAACACUCCGGGAGGAGACCAGCGUCAAGACGAUCGCCAGGCAGAUCUCCGCAGCCAAGUCUGUGCGGACUGUCAAGCUGCUCAUGUACAAGAAUGGAGAGGGCAGAAUGAGGGCUGGCGAGAAGGUGUACGGAUCUAGCAUACAAGGGAUCCUGAACCAGUGCACGCAUCAGCUGAGCCUGAACAAGCCAGCAACGCGACUGUACACGGAGGACGGAGUGCUGAUCCUGGACAUGGACGAUCUUGUGGACUGGGCCGUGGAGAACUACAAGGCUGUCAUGGCCGACCGCAUCGAGAAGAUCAUCAUGAUGGAGAACAGCGACAGUGAGCAAUCAGGUACCCCGAUACCCGAAGGUGGAGACAACAGGGUGGGCCUCCAGGACCAAGCCUCGCAGGAGGUGCACUCACAGCUUGCCCGUGCCAUGCAGAACAUGGAACAGUUUGAGGAGGAUGAGCGUGGUGGUGGCGACACGGAGGAGAGAGGGGCGGGGGAUGUUGGGGAGGAACAGGAUGCCAGGGAGGAGAAGACAGAGCUGGACUCCCAGGAGACGAGGAAGGUGGAGCGGAAGAGGGAGGAGCUGCUCAGCCGGGUGCCGCUGCCACCGCUCGAGACCAUCCUCAGAUACCCCAUCGAGCUGUGGGUCUCCAGCGGCAAGAACUUCGUUCCACCAGAAGUGGUUGAGUCGAAGGAUAUCAAUCGUAAGAAGAAGCGAGCCUUCCGUGGGCAGGUGUCCCUCGAUCUGGACAUAGAGAAACAUGUGCUGCGUCAGAUGAAAGCUCGUCGUAUGGAUGAGCUGAGCCCCGGGGAGUACAAGUCCACUCUCAGCACAUCCCAGCCCGUGGUCAUCCAAGGACAAUGGCAGCAGCUGACCCCCCAGGAGCAGGACAAACAUGACACUGUCCACAAGCUGGAGACCCACCUGGGAGAGAUCAAGGCCAACCAGAGACUGGGACUGGCCAGCAUCAACCUGAAGGGGAAGCUGUACCACCAGCCAAACAUGAAACGAGUGCAGGUGUACCCUAACGGUGAGAGCCUGGAGAGGGCGUUGUACGUUUGGGGGGAGACGCUGGAUCAGCUUCUAGAGACUUCCACCCACAAGCUGACGCUCUGGAAGAAGGCCCAGAUGUUCUUCACAUCCGAUGGAAAGCUGAUUGAGACAUUCGAGGACAUCGAGCGGGACCAGUUGCUCUGUGUCUCCACGGGGAAGGCCUUCAAGAAGCCGCGAGUGCAGAUGUUGGAUGUGGAGGUCAAGGCCAGCUGGGGUCGAGCACGACGAGAGUAUGGGCCGUCGGCCACGGAUGUUAGAGUUGACGCUAAGGGGAAUCCUACAGUGGAUGUGGAUCCGUUUGGUCCUCCAGAGCUGGCCUUACCUUUAGAAGCUCCAAAGUAGGGCGGGACAGUCCGUGGAGCCAGGGAUGGAGCAAGACUCACAAGCCUUCUUGCAGCAGCAGCAGCAGCAGCAACAACAGCAGCAGCAACAGCAGCAGCAGCAGCAACAGCAGCAACAGCACAGUACAUUGAUUCCAGAGAUUGGCUGGAGGUGCUACAGUCUAUGCCAGAUUGAUGUGUAUAUAAUGCAGAAUUUGAUGUAGGGCUUAGCUUUAAUAAGACAUAGCAUCAAUAGGUUUGACUAUGGCAAUGUUAUAGAGUUCUGUGUGGGUUUAUUUUCAUCUGCAGUUGUUAAAAUAUGCAACUUUCAAAACUUUGAGCCCAAUUUUGAUCAGUAUGUAGUUAUUCAAUACAAGCCCGGUAUCAGUGUGGUAGAUAGUUGCAGAAUAUUAAUCAGAAUACCAGGGCGUUGUGGGGACAUCUGUCUGUGAUUGUGACAUAGAAUGAUCUCAGCUGGAGUGAGCACUCCCUGCCAAAAGAAACUCUGACCAGGUGUAUAUAUUCAGGAGAAUCAACUUGGGGAUGGAAUGAAGGUGACACCAUGAACUUGGUAUCUUGGGGUCAGGGAUCCCUUGUUCCUAAUUGCACAAAAGUUAUUUUCUUGAUAUGGCCUGUGUACCACCACCCAGAGACCUGCUUGUAAAGCUUAAUUUCCCCUACUUGGGAGUUUCUUGCCCAUGACCUUGACCUUUGUUUUAUCUGUCUCACACUAGUGGAGUGGCUGGUGGGCAGUUGUCAGGAUAUACCCAGCGCUUUCUAGUCAAUGUACCCAGAUCUGUAUGUGUGGCCAUUAAAUAUCACUUGCCUCAUUCUGGUGUAACUGAUGAUAUACAGCUGUGAGUUGCUGAAGCUUUCUGAAGGACAGUUACAAAUAACAUGUAUGACUGGUACUUCUUGGUCUGUAGACGAUGUAUUUGUCUUCAUUGGUGGUUGUGCUUCACUUGGUAGGCACACAGUGUGUCUACGAACACAAGGUCCAUGUGAACAUCUCACGGUCUAUGUUAGCACCAGAAGGUCCAUGUGAACAUCACAUGCAAGGUCCAUGUGAACAUCAUACGGUCUAUGUCAACACCACAAGGUCCAUGUGAACAUCACACGGUCUAUGUUAACAUCACACGGUGUAUGGUAACACAAGGUCCAUGUGAACAUCACACGGUCUAUGUUAACACCACAAGUUCCAUGUGAACAUCACACGGUCUAUGUUAACACCACAAGUUCCAUGUGAACAUCACACGGUCUAUGUUAACACCACAAGGUCCAUGUGAACAUCACACGGUCUAUGUUAACAUCACAAGGUCCAUGUGAACAUCACACAGUCUAUGGUAACACAAGGUCCAUGUGAACAUCACACGGUCUAUGUCAACACCACAAGGUCCAUGUGAACAUCACACGGUCUAUGUUAACACCACAAGGUCCAUGUGAACAUUACACGGUCUAUGUUAACAUCACAAGGUCCAUGUGAACAUCACACGGUCUAUGGUAACACAAGGUCCAUGUGAACAUCACACGGUCUAUGCUAACACCACAAGUUCCAUGUGAACACCAUUUUAAAGUACCAACCGGAAACAUUGUGACCGAUAUAUGAUAUUUUAUCAUUUUAUUUAAUUUAUGUCGUCAAAUUUGUUUGUUUUACUUACGAGAAGAUCUGUGUGACAGAAAUUGUUUUAAUCCUCUGUCCAAUUCCGUCCAAGUUAUUGGUUGUGUUUGUCUGUGAUAUGAUCCUGUUUACUGUACGUUUAUCUGCUAUAUAAGUUUAUGAAAUAACAUUGAUAGUAUACAUAAUCAUCUUACCUCUGUAGCAGACUAACAUACUUUCUAAUUAAUUAGGAAUCAUUUUACAAGUGUUUACCGUAUACAUGACAAGAGUCUUUACCGUCAGAUAGAAUAGGAUUUUGUUACUGUUUUUGCUUAGUGUGUACCAUAUUUUUAUAGAGAAAUAUUGAUGAUGUUACUUGCAAACAUUAUUGUACAAAAAUCGUUUUCUAAGGAGCUUGUUUCAACAAAUAAACUUGCGGAAUAAAAUCUAAAUAGCA